UACAGAGGUCUCAACCGUUGUUCGGAUUCAUUGGGCGUAAAGGGGUGCGUAGGCGGUCGUGCAAGUCGGAUGUGAAAUCUCAGGGCUCAACCCUGAAACUGCAUUCGAUACUGACGCGGCUAGAGUGCUGGAGGGGAGACUGGAAUUUACGGUGUAGCAGUGAAAUGCGUAGAUACCAGGAGGAACACCGGUGGCGAAGGCGGGUCUCUGGGCGAGUAACUGACGCUGAGGAGCGAAAGCGUGGGGAGCGAACAGG
rnacentral:rRNA from 1 species